rnacentral:rRNA from 1 species
AGAGUUUGAUCCUGGCUCAGGAUGAACGCUGGCGGCGUGCUUAACACAUGCAAGUCGAACGAACCUUCGGGUUAGUGGCGGACGGGUGAGUAACGCGUGAGAAUCUGCCCUCAGGAGGGGGAUAACGGCUGGAAACGGCCGCUAAUACCCCAUAUGCCGAGAGGUGAAAUGAAUUUCGCCUGAGGAUGAGCUCGCGUCUGAUUAGCUAGUUGGUGUGGUAAAGGCUCACCAAGGCAUCGAUCAGUAGCUGGUCUGAGAGGAUGAUCAGCCACACUGGGACUGAGACACGGCCCAGACUCCUACGGGAGGCAGCAGUGGGGAAUUUUCCGCAAUGGGCGCAAGCCUGACGGAGCAACGCCGCGUGAGGGAUGAAGGCCUCUGGGCUGUAAACCUCUUUUAUCAAGGAAGAAGAUCUGACGGUACUUGAUGAAUAAGCCACGGCUAAUUCCGUGCCAGCAGCCGCGGUAAUACGGGAGUGGCAAGCGUUAUCCGGAAUUAUUGGGCGUAAAGCGUCCGCAGGCGGUCUUGAAAGUCUGUUGUUAAAGCGUGGAGCUCAACUCCAUUUCAGCAAUGGAAACUAGAAGACUAGAGUGUGGUAGGGGCAGAGGGAAUUCCCGGUGUAGCGGUGAAAUGCGUAGAUAUCGGGAAGAACACCAGUGGCGAAGGCGCUCUGCUGGGCCAUAACUGACGCUCAUGGACGAAAGCCAGGGGAGCGAAAGGGAUUAGAUACCCCUGUAGUCCUGGCCGUAAACGAUGAACACUAGGUGUCGGGGGAAUCGACCCCCUCGGUGUCGUAGCCAACGCGUUAAGUGUUCCGCCUGGGGAGUACGCACGCAAGUGUGAAACUCAAAGGAAUUGACGGGGGCCCGCACAAGCGGUGGAGUAUGUGGUUUAAUUCGAUGCAACGCGAAGAACCUUACCAGGGUUUGACAUCCUGCGAAUCCCUUGGAAACUUGGGAGUGCCUUCGGGAGCGCAGUGACAGGUGGUGCAUGGCUGUCGUCAGCUCGUGUCGUGAGAUGUUGGGUUAAGUCCCGCAACGAGCGCAACCCACGUCUUUAGUUGCCAGCAUUAAGUUGGGCACUCUAGAGAGACUGCCGGUGAUAAACCGGAGGAAGGUGUGGAUGACGUCAAGUCAUCAUGCCCCUUACAUCCUGGGCUACACACGUACUACAAUGCUACGGACAAAGGGCAGCAAACUCGCGAGAGCUAGCAAAUCCCAUAAACCGUGGCUCAGUUCAGAUCGUAGGCUGCAACUCGCCUACGUGAAGGAGGAAUCGCUAGUAAUCGCAGGUCAGCAUACUGCGGUGAAUACGUUCCCGGGCCUUGUACACACCGCCCGUCACACCAUGGAAGUUGGCCACGCCCGAAGUCGUUACUCCAACCCGCAAGGGAGGAGGAUGCCGAAGGUGGGGCUGAUGACUGGGGUGAAGUCGUAACAAGGUA